ACAGCCCUUGGCGCGUCUAAGCUUCUGCUCACUCCUCCAUCAACAAUGGCGCCGAAGAAGAAGCCGCAACAACAACAGAGGUCGAAGGCGAAGGGGAAACCCUACCCCGCCGAUGCGAGAACCCCCGCUCCGAAGCUCCAAAUCUCGGCGGAGAACGAGCGCCGCCUCCGCCGCCUCCUCAUGAACACCGACCUCCCCCCGGCCACCGCGGCGGCGGCGGCGGCGCCGCCUCCACCGUCGUCCUUCGCCGCCUCCUCCGCCGAUGCCGCGGCGACGGAGUCGCGAACUGCGAAGGCGAAGCGGCUUCGGAGCGUCUACGACAAUCUCUCCCUCGAGGGCUUCUCCUCCGAUCAGAUCGAGAGAGCCCUCUCCGCUCUCCAUGAGAGUGCGACGUUCGAGAGCGCUUUGGAUUGGUUGUGUUUUAAUCUUCCUGGAAACGAGCUUCCUCUGAAAUUCUCGACCGGUGCUUCUUCUUCUUCUCAUGGAGAGACAGAAGGGUCAGUUAAAAUUAUAGCUACUGCUCGGGAAGAUUGGGUUGCUCCGCAGCAUCAACAGGAGGAAGAGAAAGACGGCAUGGAUGGAAUGUCGGUUAAAGUGAAAGGGAAGCGUGAUGAAGCGUCUCUAGAUGACGGAAAAUCUUCUCAGGCAGAGUGGAUCCGACAGUACAUGGAACAAGAAGAAGAGGAGGAGGACACAAGUAAUCGUGCUGCUUCAUUGGCUGAAGAGUACCGUGUUGCAAUGCUGGGAUCUAUGGAAGCAAAGCAGAAAGGAAACAAGAAAAGCCAGAAACGUUUUGACAAUACUAUCCACAAACUGAAGCAGGAAUUAGCUAUGUUAGGUCUAUCAGAGGAAAUUUUGUGUUCAGGAUUGCAAGAAGAAUCCGUUUAUUCAAAAAUGGGGGAGGUCACAACAUGCGAUUCAACACCCCAUGAAUCUUUUACUACAAAAAAAGUGUUAGAUGAAGAUAGUCGGCUAGGUUUAGUUGCAUCUGAAAGUGAAUUACAUUUAGAUGAGAGCAGAAAUGACAGCUCUAUUUUGAGAAAGACAGAGGGUGCUGUUGAUCGUGUGGAGAGCCUACAUAGCCCUGUUAAUGCAACUUGUGUGACUAAGGAGGAAUCAGAGGAAUUAGAACUUGACAAUCUGUUUUCUGAGGAUUCUUCUUCUUCUGGAGUAUUACUGAAACAGCAAAAGACAGAAAAGGUGCCACACAGUAAAUAUGUGCAUGCUCUAGGAAACCUUGAUGAAAUAUGGAAAAAGGGGGAAUCUGGAAGAAUACCUAAAGCUGUUCUUCAAAAACUGUGCCAAAGACUUGGAUGGGAAGCACCAAAAUAUAGUAAGUUAUCUGAGAAAGAUAACAAAUUCGUCUAUGCUGUUAGCAUAUUGCGUGGAGCAAGUGGACGGGGUAAGAGUCGAAAAGCUGGAGGUUUUACCACUAUGCAGCUUCCUGACCAUGAUGAAACGUUUGAAUCCAUUGAGGACGCACAAAAUAGAGUAGCAGCUUUUGCCCUUUAUCAAUUUUUUCCAGAGCUUCCACUUAACCAAAUGCUAGUAGAACCAUACUCCUCAUUAGUUUUGAAGUGGCAGAAAGAUGAAUGCUCAAGUGAACUCGAUAAUGAGGAUAUCAGAAGAGAUGGCUUUGUGGAUAUGAUUUUGAACACAGAUGCUUCAGGGUCGGCGACUUCCUUUGGCGCCCGAAAUCCUGCUGACAGUGAGAAGCUUGGAAACUCCUAUGAUGCGGGAGAUAAUCCACCACCUGAAAAGAUUAUCAUAGUCAAGUCAUCAACUGAUGCAGGUCGGAUUUCUCCGGAACAAGCAGAGAGUGUAUUACUGAAAAAUGAUUUGGCAAAUAAAAAGAAGCUACCUAAGUACAUGAAAAUGCUGGAAGCCAGAGCUGCUCUGCCUAUAGCUAACCUGAAAAAUCAUAUUCUUCACUCUUUAAAUGAGAAUGAUGUGAUUGUUGUUUGUGGCGAAACUGGGUGCGGGAAAACAACACAGGUCCCUCAAUUUAUAUUGGAUGAUAUGAUUGACAUUGGGCUUGGAGGAUACUGUAACAUAGUGUGCACACAACCACGCAGGAUAGCAGCCAUUUCUGUGACAGAAAGAGUAUCAGAUGAGCGAUGUGAAUCUUCACCAGGUGGUGAUGGUUCAUUGGUUGGCUAUCAAGUUCGCCUCGAGAGUGCUAGGAGUGACAAGACAAAACUUCUCUUUUGUACAACUGGCAUCCUCCUUAGAAAAUUGUCGGCAAACAAGAACUUGGAUGGUGUAACUCACGUCGUAGUUGAUGAAGUACAUGAACGAUCUCUUUUGAGUGACUUCCUACUGAUCGUUCUGAAGGACCUGGUUGAGAAGCAAUCUUCUCGUGGCAUACGAAAGUUGAAAGUAGUUCUCAUGUCUGCAACUUUAGAUGCAAGUCUGUUCUCAAGGUACUUUGGUGGUUGUCCUGUAAUUAGAGCAGAAGGAAGGACACAUCCAGUUUCAACUCAUUUCCUUGAGGAUGUUUAUGAAAAACUCGAGUAUUGUCUUCCCUGGGAUUCUCCUGCAUCAGGGACAUCUCUUGCACCAAAUAGAGGAAAGCGCAGUAGUGGUGCUGUGGAUAACCAUAGAGGAAAGAAGAAUCUUGUUAUGUCCUCCUGGGGUGAUGAAUCACUACUUUCUGAAGAUUAUGUUAAUCCUCAUUAUAUCCCCGAAUUAUACAACUCCUACAGUGAAAGAACACGCCAAAAUCUUAAACGCUUAAAUGAAGAUGCAAUUGAUUUUGAUCUUUUGGAAGAUUUGAUAUGCUAUAUUGAUGAAAAUUGCCCUCCUGGUGCCAUUCUUGUUUUCCUUCCUGGAGUUUCUGAAAUUGAGUUGCUGGUUGAUAAAUUAACCGCCUUAUUCCGUUUUGGUGGAGUAUCAUCUGAUUGGAUUCUUCCUUUGCAUUCAUCACUUGCGUCAGCUGAUCAACGGAAGGCGUUUCAAUCUCCACCUGAAAACAUACGAAAGGUAAUUGUUGCAACGGAUAUUGCAGAGACCAGCAUAACAAUUGAUGACAUAGUUUAUGUGGUUGAGAGUGGAAAGCACAAGGAGAACCGGUACAAUCCACAAAAGAAAAUGUCAAGCAUAGUGGAAGAUUGGAUAUCCCGUGCAAAUGCAAAGCAGAGGCGUGGUAGAGCUGGUAGGGUGAAGCCAGGAAUCUGCUUUUGCUUGUAUACUCGCCAUCGAUUUGAAAAGCUCAUGCGCCCAUUUCAGGUGCCUGAGAUGUUGCGGAUGCCAUUGACUGAGUUGUGUUUACAGAUAAAAUCACUUUCUUUGGGAGAUAUCAAAUCCUUUCUACUGAAGGCAUUAGAACCACCACGAGAAGAAGCUAUUUCCUCUGCAAUUGACUUGUUAUAUAAGGUUGGAGCCUUUGAAGGAGGAGAAGAAUUGUCACCUCUUGGUUAUCAUUUGGCAAAACUACCUGUGGAUGUUUUGAUUGGAAAGAUGAUGUUGUAUGGUGCAAUAUUUGGUUGCUUAUCACCAGUUCUCUCGAUUGCAGCAUUCUUGAGUUACAAGCCUCCCUUCGUCUAUCCCAAAGAUGAGAAACAAAAUGUAGAGAAAGCAAAACAAACUUUAUUAAAUAGCAGCCUGGAUGGAACUGCUUCCAAUGUGGACAAUAAACAGUCAGACCACCUGCUAAUGGUUGUUGCCUACAAUAAGUGGGCCAGGAUUUUGCACGAGAAUGGUUCAAAAGCUGCUCAGCAACUUUGCCGGUCAUUCUUUUUGAACAGUUCAGUUAUGUAUACUAUCAGGGAUAUGCGUAUACAACUUGGAAGUUUAUUAGCAGACAUUGGGCUCGUUGAUCUCCCGAAAGUUAUUUUGAGUGCUGGGAAAAGGAAGGACAAACUUGACGGUUGGUUUGCUGAUGCCUCUCAGUCAUUCAAUAUGCAUGCACAUCAUUCUUCAGUUAUUAAGUCGAUUAUAUGUGCAGGCCUAUAUCCCAAUGUUGCUGCAACUAUAGAAGGUAUUGACAGGUCUUCUUUAGGUGGAAAUAAAGCUCUUUUUGAUUCCCUUUCGGUGAAAGACCGGCCGCUUUGGUACGAUGGAAAAAGAGAAGUUCACAUACAUCCUUCUUCCGUAAACCAUAGCUUGAAAAGUGCUCGGUAUCCAUUUCUUGUCUUCCUUGAGAAGGUUGAGACUACCAAGAUAUUUUUACGAGAUACUAGCAUCAUCUCUCCUUACGCCAUUCUUCUGUUCGGUGGUUCCAUGGUUGUCCAACAUCAGGCUGCAUCGGUCAUGAUAGACGGCUGGAUAAAGUUGACAGCCCCUGCACAGGUUGCUGUUUUGUUCAAAGAACUCCGCAGAACGCUCGAUGCCGUUCUCAAAGAAUUGAUCAAAAAGCCUGAGACGUCCACGUUCGUCAACAACGAAGUCGUGAACUCCAUUGUUUAUUUGUUGCUAGAGGAAGAGAAAUCUCAAGCUUGAGAUAUUCUUAUGCUCCACACAGCUUUGACAACCAAAAAAGCCGAUGUAAGGUGAGUCCGAAGAUGCUAACAGCAGAAACAACAAGUCGCUUCUACGAUUACUGCCUUAUGUGAACACCUGUUCUCAGAAACUGCUACUCAUGUCUCGUCACUCGUGAGGUGUAGAAUAGGUAAUCACAGGGGAAUUUCACAGCCUCUUUUAUUUGUUCAAACAUUCUCGUAUUAGUUCCCCAUACCCUGGUUGUAGCAAUUUCAUACAAAAAGCUAAAUUGGAGAGAUUAAGCAAUACCAUGUGGUAUGAAAACAAACAACAGGGUUUUUGGACCUGUGUGAAAGGAAUCCGGAAUUCCCAAUGAAACAUGCCGCCACAGCAAUUUGGCAACCAACUUUUUUGUUCUUUACCCCGGGAGGAUUUUUUUUUUUCUCUUUUAUUAAGAAAAGUGGUCCUAGUUGUAGAAAGUUUGGACGAUGGAUGAGAACAAAGAUCUUAUUAGGGUAAAAACUUACAGGUCGUUCCUGCAUUGUUCUAAUAUUGUACCUUAGUCCGAGUACCUUUUGCUGCA